GAAAAAUAAAGAAAUGGCUGAAGUUCGAGCUGUCCUGCAGCACUGUGACCCUGCUCUUCUGGAUGACUGUGGAGACUUGGAGCAGCCGGCCUGGGCCGAAGCAGCCAGGAUGGAUCUCUACCUGACGGACAGCCGACGUGUCCAGAAAGUUCUGUGGCGUCAGCUGUUUGUCCUGGACUCCAUGGUG